rnacentral:rRNA from 1 species
UACGAAGGGGGCUAGCGUUGCUCGGAAUCACUGGGCGUAAAGGGCGCGUAGGCGGCCGUUCAAGUCGGGGGUGAAAGCCUGUGGCUCAACCACAGAAUGGCCCUCGAUACUGGAUGGCUCGAGACCGGAAGAGGUUGGUGGAACUGCGAGUGUAGAGGUGAAAUUCGUAGAUAUUCGCAAGAACACCAGUGGCGAAGGCGGGUCUCUGGACAGUUCCUGACACUGAGGCACGAAGGCCAGGGGAGCAAACGGG